rnacentral:rRNA from 1 species
GUGGAUUAGAUACCCUGGUAGUCCACGCCCUAAACGAUGCGAACUGGACGUUGGUUGCAACUUGGCAAUCAGUGUCGAAGCUAACGCGUUAAGUUCGCCGCCUGGGGAGUACGGUCGCAAGACUGAAACUCAAAGGAAUUGACGGGGGCCCGCACAAGCGGUGGAGUAUGUGGUUUAAUUCGAUGCAACGCGAAGAACCUUACCUGGCCUUGACAUGUCCGGAAUCCUGCAGAGAUGCGGGAGUGCCUUCGGGAAUCGGAACACAGGUGCUGCAUGGCUGUCGCCAACU